rnacentral:rRNA from 1 species
CACGGGGGGAGCAAGCGUUGUUCGGAAUCACUGGGCGUAAAGGGCGUGUAGGCGGUCAAGUAAGUGGAAUGUGAAACGCCUCGGCUUACCCGAGGACCUGCAUCCCAAACUGCUUGGCUUGAGUAUGGGAGAGGAUGAGGGAAUUCCUGGUGUAGCGGUGAAAUGCGUAGAUAUCUGGAGGAACACCGGUGGCGAAGGCGGCAUCCUGGACCAACACUGACACUGAGGAGCGAAAGCCAGGGGAGCAAACGGG